UGGGGAAUAUUGGACAAUGGGCGAAAGCCUGAUCCAGCCAUGCCGCGUGUGUGAAGAAGGUCUUCGGAUUGUAAAGCACUUUAAGUUGGGAGGAAGGGUUGUAGAUUAAUACUCUGCAAUUUUGACGUUACCGACAGAAUAAGCACCGGCUAACUCUGUGCCAGCAGCCGCGGUAAUACAGAGGGUGCAAGCGUUAAUCGGAAUUACUGGGCGUAAAGCGCGCGUAGGUGGUUUGUUAAGUUGGAUGUGAAAUCCCCGGGCUCAACCUGGGAACUGCAUCCAAAACUGGCAAGCUAGAGUAUGGUAGAGGGUGGUGGAAUUUCCUGUGUAGCGGUGAAAUGCGUAGAUAUAGGAAGGAACACCAGUGGCGAAGGCGACCACCUGGACUGAUACUGACACUUAGGUGCGAAAGCGUGGGGAGCAAACA
rnacentral:rRNA from 1 species